rnacentral:lncRNA from 1 species
UAUGUAGAGCUUGCCAGCAUGCAUGAGCCUGGUAUCCCNCCUACUGGCAUUUUUGAGUAAUUUUGUGAGUAAUAUUGCUAAUGUAAUAUUUGACUGAAUACUUACAGUUCUUUAAUUUUGUACAAAUACCCCAAGGGUCUUUUGCUAAUGGCUACAUUUUAAAUAAAUCAUAUGAAUGCUAGGCAAAUGUUAAUGAUCUUCAAUGCAAAUGUUGGUAGCAAACCUAAAGAAGUUAUGAACCAAGAUUUGGAACUCACUACAUUUAUAAUGUUACAUGUUUGUUAAAAAUGUGGAGGGAAAAAAGAUUUUAAAGAGAGGUAUUUUUGCCAUAACUGUAAAAUAAAUGUUAGUUGGUACUUUUCAUAAAAAUUCUUAGGAAUAGCAGGAUCCCCACUUACUGGUAAUUGAAUGCUUGAAUAAUGGCUACAGUUCCUAAAUUUUAUAGAGCAAUGAAAGUGAUAGUUUUUUAAAUAAACGUAGUUAAUACCAUUUUAUGAUUAUUUUAUUUUUGCUUAAUACUUAUAAAUAUUAUGAAAAUAAAUAUCUGGUCUUAGUUGAUCAUCCUAAUAGAAUUUGCUUAGAUUACAAAAACAAUUAUUGCUAAUAGACCCUCAAAAAUGUGUCUUUUGGCCAGGCACGGUGUUACAGGCCUGUAAUUCCAGUGGCUCAGGAGACUGAAGCAGGAGGAUCUCGAGUUCAAAGCUAGCUUCAGCAAUUUAGUGAGAUGCUAAGCAACUCAGUGAGACCCUGUCUCUAAAUAAAAAUACAAAAAAGGGCAGGGGAUGUGGCUCAGUGAUCGAGUGCCCCUGAGUUCAAUCCCUAGUACACACACAUACACCAAAAAAUGUGUCUUUCCCGGGGGUAUAGCUUAGUGAUAGAGCACUUGCCAAGCAUGCAUGAGGCUCUGGGUGGAAUCCCCAGCACUUCAAACAAAACAAAGCAAAAACCCUUCUCCUUGUAUUAUAGUCUCUCCUUCCAGGGAGGCGCAGAGGUCACCACAGGUAAUGGGGUGUUUAUUGGAAGGAUACAGCAGCAGCUGCCUGCUUAAGUGUGGUGGUUCUGAUAUCGCCUCUCCUGCCUCCAGGAUUGGCAUCCAGAUUGGCAUCAUUCUGACUUGUGUAGGAUUCUGCUUCUCUUCCACUGUCUGGUCCACUCCACGUCCAUUGGUUCACUCUCUUCCCACUUUCCCUGUUUAGAUUCCAGAGUGGCAUAAGCUAACUAAGCCUGACCAUCUCCUGGGUGGGGAGAGAACUGGCAGGGCAGUUUCCCUUAGAAGGAGGUGUUGGAAGAGCUAUCAUGGUGCCAGUGACAUUGAGCAGAGCAGCACUCUGGCCCACUACGUGACAUUGUGCUGAUGGGACCCAAUGAGCCCGCAGUAGCAAGAACUUAGCCGUCCCAGUGAUUGGCCUGCCUGGUUUAUUCAAGAGUAGACAAUGGAUUUUACUCAAAACUCUAAUUGUUCUUGUUAUAUAAUUAUAACAAGAGUGAGUCAUUUUGUAGGCAGAAGCUAUGACUGAUUUGUGGCUUUCUCCAGAAGUGUGAGUGAAGUCAGUGGCCUGUUUCACAAAGUACUAGAUAAGCAGAUUUCUAGAUCUCUUCAAUUAAGAGAACACUUAACUUGGCAUUUACACUUGGAGCUCCUUACACAACUCCCCAUCCCCAAACAUUAGAGCAUUUUUGCACUGGAGCAGCUCUGUGAGAUUGGUACCAGUGCUUUCUAUCUAUCUAUUCUUGUAAGACUCAGCCGGGGACCUUACAGCCAUAUGGUACCUGACAUCACUGUGGAAGUGAGAUUUGGGUUGCCAGUCUUUCUGGUUACUCAGUGUGUGACUGUUUGAAUGUUUAUUGUUUUUGUUGUUAUUUCUUCAGAUUGGUAAUUUAACUUUUUGAAUCCCAUUUUGUUUCUCUCUUUCUCUCUCUCUCUCUCUCUUUUUUUUUUUUUUUGUUGUGGUACUGGGGAUUGAACCCAGGGCCUUGUGAAUGCAAGGCAAGCACUCUACCAAUGAUCUAUAUCCCCAGCUUGUUUCUCUUAUUUUGAUCUAAUUUGGAAAUUUAAUAAGCAAUUCCUGCCAAACUUCCCCUUAGAACAACAUUUUUUCUACAGUGCUUGAUUAAAUUAUUAGACAAAAAUAAUUAGCUGGGUUUUUUUUUUCCUCUUAAUGCCAUGGAGUUUGGUAGAGGAAAUGAGUGCAGUAAUUGUCAAACUUAAAAAAAUAACAAUCUACCAUGUUGUUGGUUUAUCUUCGUAUUUGGUCAUAAUGAAUACUGUCUGUUUUCAUUUUAAGGAAAACAGUUUGAACAUGAGUACAAUUAGUAUUCAGAUUUUUUUCACUGGAUAUACUGCAUCAAACUAUUCAAUAAUUCAAAGUACAUAGGCUCUAUAAUCCUUUGGACUAGAACAGAAAUCUGGAUCAUAUUUUUUUCCACCUAUGUAAUAUGAUCAUUUUUCAUUUGUAGGGUCCCAAACUAAUGAUUUACAUAUUAACAUACCAAAUGGCCUGCAAUUUAGAUUUGUAUCAUCCUUUGUUUUAGAAAGCCAUCUACUAUAAAUCUCCAAAGAUAAGCUGUUAGGCCAUUUCUAACUCAAAAACAAAGAAUAGAUCUACUUUUGUAAAAAAUCACGCAAUGUAGAUUUUAAAAACAAUUUCUGAAUACCAUGUCAUGGAUUAUAUUCUAUUUAAAUUAUUUAUGGAAAGGUAUAUGUAUUUUGCACUAAGAAGUAUCUUAUACAUCCAACCACUUUUAUAUCAAGAUAGUUCAGUUGUAUGUUGAAAAAUGAUAGGAAACAUUUUUAUUUUUUCUUUAAUUUUGAUUUUGUCGUAAGUUUACUUUUAAUCAAUAAGCUGAUCACCUUACCAUCCCUCAGAAGACCAAGGCCUCUCUUUAGUCUUGAAUAGCUUGAAUUUUGGUGCGCAUUUUUGUUACUUUCAGAAAUUAAGUCAAAAUAGCCUUAUAUUAAAGGUAGCCUUAUAUGGAGAGCCUUAUUACAAAGAUAUCAGAACAUUUAAUUUCUAGUAUUUUUUCUAGAAUUCAGAAUCUUGGGUAUUUUGGGGGCAUAUAAGAACUUUGAGAAGAGUUCUCUAUUUAGUUAUGGCUAAGGUAUGUUUUGUACACUGUGGAUGUCUUUAUGCUUUCUGACAUUUGUAUUUAUGUUGAGGAAAGUCAUACCUCACUUUCUUGUUUGGCUCAAUAAAGCUCAUCAACAGAUAAAUUGCUCUGUGUGUAUGUGUUAAAAUAUUCUUGCCUUAAAAUAGAGUACUCAUGCGGCCAAAUGGUCUUCUAGUGAUUCAUCUUUCUGUGUGCCUGGUCAACGCAGGCCUGAUAAAGUCCAUGGGAGUAAGAAAGAAGAAUGAAACAUCUUUUCAUUGUUAAUGAUCUGAACCUGGAUUAAAAGUAUUUUGGGCAUGUAAAGAUUUUAUGGAAAAAGUAAUAUACGUGUGUUUGGCUUUUACUAGUUAAGAUGGCAAGUGGUUGAACAGAUAAAAUAUGUUUUGGUUUUAACCAUCAUUUUUAUUGACUCUGUUCUAAAAGGAAGUAGUUAUUGAAAGCGUGCAUGUGGUCAGGUUUACUACUUCCACUGUGCACACAUCAUUAUUGCUACCAUUACCCGUCAUCACUGGUGGCCACUGCACCUGUCAUGAGAGUUCAGAUGUGCUGCAUCAACCGAUGGAGAUGGUAAUGUGGAUAAGUAAAGACUGUAUGAUAGUUUGGGAUUUAAAGUCAUAUUAUAUUGUCUGAUAGCUCUUGUAAGAAUGAUGGUUUAUGGACGUAGCUUUUAUCUUCUAAUAAAGAUUCUUAAAAUCAGCUCAAUUUAUGUGAUGUAAUUUUGUUUCCUACUUUGAUACAGGAUUAGUAAAGUGUGCAGUCAUUUGGGUCGUUGCUUUUCUUACCUCGCUGUGUUACGUAUUUUUAUGUCGGAUCUUCUAUAGUACCUAUAAAUGUACAUCAAAUAUUUAAUUCAUGGUUGAAACUUUUUGGCAUCUUUAGUCCUUGAGGAAGUACUAUUUUAUAUAUAAAAAAUCGACUUUGUUAUGAUAUAAAUACGUUGUAUGCAAACCUGAAAAGAAAUGUGUACAGCUUGAACAUUUGAAGAGUUAAUAAAUCUUACCUUUUGAGAACGACCCUGGAACUGGUACUAAAUACUGUUCUGUUGAGUUGACUCCAUUAAUUGGUGUAUUUUGUUCUUUUUUUCUUCUUCUUUUUUAAUUUGUUCUUACAUAACAGUAGAAUGUAUUUUGAUGUAUUAUACGUAUAUGGAGUAUAACUUCUCAUUCCUCUGGUUGUACAUGAUGUGGAAUGACAUUGGUUGUGUAAUCAUAUAUGCAUAAAAGAAAGUAAUGUCCACUUCAUGUAGUUUAUUCUUGAUGGACUUAUUUCCCUUCUGUUCUGAACCAAAACUUCACUUUGCAAUAAAC